UGGGGAAUAUUGGACAAUGGGCGAAAGCCUGAUCCAGCCAUGCCGCGUGUGUGAAGAAGGUCUUCGGAUUGUAAAGCACUUUAAGUUGGGAGGAAGGGCAUUAACCUAAUACGUUAGUGUUUUGACGUUACCGACAGAAUAAGCACCGGCUAACUCUGUGCCAGCAGCCGCGGUAAUACAGAGGGUGCAAGCGUUAAUCGGAAUUACUGGGCGUAAAGCGCGCGUAGGUGGUUUGUUAAGUUGGAUGUGAAAUCCCCGGGCUCAACCUGGGAACUGCAUUAAAAACUGACUGACUAGAGUAUGGGAGAGGGUGGUGAAAUUUCCUGUGUAGCGGUGAAAUGCGUAGAUAUAGGAAGAAACACCAGUGGCGAAGGCGACCACCUGGACUAAUACUGACACUGAGGUGCGAAAGCGUGGGGAGCAAACA
rnacentral:rRNA from 1 species